UACAGAGGGGGCAAGCGUUGUUCGGAAUUACUGGGCGUAAAGGGCGCGUAGGCGGCCUGCUAAGUCGAACGUGAAAUCCCCGAGCUCAACUCGGGAACUGCGUCCGAUACUGGUUGGCUUGAAUCCGGGAGAGGGAUGCGGAAUUCCAGGUGUAGCGGUGAAAUGCGUAGAUAUCUGGAGGAACACCGGUGGCGAAGGCGGCAUCCUGGACCGGCAUUGACGCUGAGGAGCGAAAGCGUGGGGAGCGAACAGG
rnacentral:rRNA from 1 species